CAGCGACAACUACGCAAGCUGCAACUACUGCUUAUUAUGAUUGGUGUUCGCUUUAUCCCUGUCGUAAUGGAUAUUCAUGUGAUAGUUAUUAUAGACGUUGUUAUUGUCAUGUUGGAUAUACGGGACAAUAUUGUGAAUAUUAUAUUUCCGCCUCCCCUGUAAUUACUGCAAUGUCGACAACAGCUAUGGUAACACAAUCUGCAACAACUAGUUAUUAUGAUUGGUGUUCGCCUAAUCCCUGUCGUAAUGGAUUUUCAUGUUAUAAUAAUCGUUGUUAUUGUUAUGCUGGAUAUACGGGACAAUACU